UAUGUGUCUUCCUGAUGGAAGAAAGGUGAAUUUGGGCAGUAGAGGCCUGUUUGCUGCUCACACUUUUGGAAGUUUGUUUGGUUUGUUUUGUUUAGCAGUUUCUAUGAUGGACUUUCUUGGAUUUGUGCCAUGCAAUUAUCUUCUCAAAAGAAAAAAAAGGUUGCAUCUAUCCAGUUUUUAAAUAAACCUGUUAAGUAUAGCUUUAUUGGACCCAACGCAGAGGUAACUCAAUGAUAAAAAAUUCUCUCUGCUUAUCCUUACCCAAUUUUUCUCCAUAACCCGACAUUUACUAUAUGCUUUACGACUUGCUUUUUCUGUCACUCUGUAUCCUCCCCAUUGAUAUGUAAGGUUGGCACGGAUGAAUCUAAAGAAGGUUCGGUUUUAGUGAAGUCUAUGGAGUUUUUAUUGGAUUUGCACGCAUACCACUGAAUUCAUAAAUAUUUAUACAUUUAAAUGCAAACUAUAGUUUUUUUUGCCAGCCGUCAAGGGGUAUCUAUACCGGUAUCACAAGAUGAUGCAGCAAUGCUCUUUGUAAGUAUGAGUAAAUUCUUCACUCUCUGCAGAAACUCAUUUUUUAAGUAUAAUUGCUUGCUCCUGUGUAUCUGUUGAUAACCUGUCCGGAUGUAGCUGUGGAUGGCUACUUGGUCGAUCUGCUUUGUUAUACGGUAAAGGUGAAUUCUUGUCUUUGAAUCUCUAUUUAUUUUCCUCCUAUGUUGAUGUUUGCGGGUUAAACUUAGCAAGUUCUGUUAACAUGGUAGGUGGAGAGAAUCCUUAUCCGUCUUCUAAGACUACUAUUAUGUUCUGUAUUAUACUGUACUGUCUUACCCCUUAGUUCUCUAAAGGAUUUGUUUGGGUUGAAUGAAUUUACUCCCUUUUUACUUCUCUUUACCCCUUCUUAUCCGCAGAAGAGCCACAGCUGUUAUGUUUGUUUCUCUCAGAAAGAAGACUGCGUUGAAAAGAAAAACUUUUUGAUGGGCAGGGGCCUAGCUCCGGAAGCAGAAAUUCUGCAUAGAAGACCUUCACUAUUAGAAUUACCCUCAAAUUUGUUCUCAAUGCUCUUCAUGGCGGAGGUGUAUAGAUUGCACGCGUUGCUUCUUCGGCUCCUUCGUGGCUGUUCGACUUCGCUCCUUCGACGACUUUCACUUCCUGUAGGAUUGGAAGUUACGAAAUUUUGAUCGGAAACAAGAGGAGGAUUUCGCUGGCUGUGAAAUUGAACUUUCUUCCUUUCAGGCGUUAUUAAUGUUGAAUCCCGUUAAAUCCGCCGAACAUAUGGAUUUAGUAAAUCCGGGAUUUAAGCUGUUAAUUUAGGGAUUUACAGAAUCCCGUGAUUUAACUUGCGCGCAAAAACCGUUUGGCUGGAUUUAUUGUAAAUUCGACUUGAAUCCGGGAUAAAUCUGAUACCAUACAGCCGCUUAGAGUUCCUAAUGUUUCUCUGUUAUUCUCUUUCAGCGGCACGGAGCAGCUUGGAAGGCCCUUGCCAUCUGCAGGCAACCGCUGCAUCCGUGUGCCUUGGUCUGCUUGCCAUGGUGUACAUGCACGGCGACCGCUCCAUCGAUGCGUUACUAGCAGAGAACUAGCGGGUUGAUCUGCGAAAUGAUUGAACAAAGGCGAAUCUGAGCCUGUUUAAUUUACGCACUUGUCUAUUGAACAUGCUCCGAAGCAAAACAAAUGAGCCCAUAUGAACAGACAUCACAGAUCAAGCUGUUCGUUGCUCUUCGAUUUCGGCUGCUUCGCGUAAGAGGUGGAGUUCCUGAAUGAGUUGCUAAUGAAAUUCUUUGCCUCCUUGGACGACAUUUCUUUCUAGUUGCUAUUGGAUCCGAAGUCACGCUUGCCGUUUGUUGGGUUUGUUUAGUUGAGCAGUUUCUAUGAAGCGCUUUCUUGGAUUUGUGCCAUGCCUUUUAUCUUCUAAACAAAAAAAGGAUCUCUCUCUCUCUCUCUCAGUUUGGAUGGGGCAAUGACGAAAUCCAUCACGGGAAAUCUUGCUCACACUAUGGACCAUGAUUUUUUGAGAUGGUUAUUCUGAGAUCUCAGCAUUUAUUCUUAUCCAGUGGCGAUGGAUCUGCUUGUUGAUUGAACAAAGGUGAAUCUGAGCACAUUUCCUUUACCCCUUCUCUAUAAAAAUAUGUUUUUUAUGUCCAAGCAAAUAACUGCCGACCCCUUAGUGUGGAUUAUUUCUUACGAUUUUUCCCAAGUUGAAGUCUAUCCUUUUUCUACUACGCCACCUAGUAUUAUAUUGAUGUUUGAAUGAAACUUAAUUUUUUUUUUUACCCACCAACUUAUUCACUUAAGUAUUUCCUCAGGCUAAAAAAAAGUAUUUCCUCGGGUUCAGGGAAUUCAUAUGAUUCUUUAAUUUUCUCCACUUCUACACAUGCCUCUUUAGAACCUCAGUAGGUUAUGCUUUUGGGCUCCUUCGAGAGAAGGCUGCUUUGAAAAAAAAAAAAAACAGUUAUGGCGGUAACAAGGAAAGUAACCGUAGCUCCUGAAGCGGAGCCAAUGAUAAUGGUUGAGUAGAUUUCUUAGCAUGAGUGACCUUUUCCGUUUUAGUUUAUCCCUAGAGGGAAUGAUUGUCAACACUGGAUUAAAAUAGUCUCAAAAGCUUUUAGAGAUUUUUGAUUUUUUUACGAGCAGAAUCUCUUUCAAAAUUGAUGCUUAUGCCAUCUUGUAGAGUGAAUGGUCUUUGAGAUAACUUUUGGGGGAUUUACAUACAUGCCAUUUUAUUUCAUGCUAUUUACGUAUCUAACACCCAAAACUUUGAUAUUACAUGCCUUUCAGCCAUAGAACAAAAAUAGGUGCAUGGAAUGAAAUAUUAAAAUUUGUAGGUUGGUUUGGGGGCGAUAAUGAAAUAUAGCAGUGAUGUAUUGUGCGCUACAAAAAUUUCAUGUUGUGCCCUCAGCCUCUCCGUACCCUGCCAUUGGUCUCUUUUCUUAUUUGUGUGACGGCGGAGAGUUUUAUUGAGAUUAGGUUCCAGUGAAUUUUCAGAAGACAGUUUGGGUUUAAGAUAAGACAUUACUCGGAGAUUAUGCCCUCAUUUUGCGCGGAAUUUAUGAUCUGAGUUCUGUUUUUUAUAGGUGCAAGUCCCUAUAGUUAAUUACCCCUCCUGAUAACAAGAGUGAACUUUCGAUUAAGGUUAGUUAUUAAAGCUGUCACAUUGGUUAUAAACCCAUGGCAUAAUAGCAUCAAUUUAGGGUUUGAAUUUUGGAUUUGAAUUUUGAAGUUUAAGAAUUUGAGGUUUAUCAUCCUAAACUUAAAACUGGUGGUGGUCUCUGGUUGAAUCCAAACAACACCUUGGUUGAUUAUAAUGAUUGGGAGGUCUCUGGAAAUUCACGAAGAUCUUCCCCCACACUAAAUAAGGGUGAAAUUUCUUCGUGAUUCUACUUUGCUAUUCUCUUGCAAUGACGCGGAGCAGCUUGGAAGGCCCAUGCAUAUUGUGGGGGCAACCACUGCGUCCAUCUGUUAGUGUUAUAUGAUGCUUAAAGUAUCAUUUUUGAACAAAUUUUUAAAGAUUUUUAUUUUGAUAGCCGUAUCAUUAAAAUAGAAUCUUUCAAGAAAAUAAAGUGUGGAUAAAGUGGAAAAAAAUGUGACCUAAUGAUAUUGCACUAGAGAUGUGGAUGCUUAGGAGAUCAAGUAAUUUUUUGAGCUUACUAAGUUUUAAAUAUUAUUUUGAUGACAAGAUGUCAGAUGAGUGGAGAUAAAUUGCGCUGGUUCUUAAUUAUAAGAAUUAAGGUGUUGCACAAGAAUAUGAGUAAUUGCCUCUAUGAACUCUUGUUAUUCGUUAUGACUGUUGGGUUUUAGCAGUUGACUAUGAUGCAACAUCUCACAGAUAUGGCAUUUAUGUUUGUGUUCAAGUUCUCAAUGGAGAAAAAAAUUAUUGUUAUGAACGUAGUAAGGUUUGAUGAUUUAUAUGAAAAUUUUAUCACCUGCGUAUCUGUUGAUAACCUGGCAAAGGCCGUGUCCGUGUGUAGCUGUGGAUAAUUUGUUGGUGCAUCUGCUUUGUUAUUCAGUAAAGGCGAAUUCUUGUCUUUGAAUCUCUAUUUAUUUUCCUCAUAUGUUGAUGAUUGCGGGUUAAGUUUAGCAAGUUCAGUUAACAUGAUAAGUGGAUUCAAAGCAUUAAAUAUAUGUAUGUAGGAGAUAUUACUUAUGUUCAAACACAAGUUGGUUUGACUAAGUAUUUUCCUUUUUCAGUUUGAUUACAUCAAGGAUCAACCUUAAGCCCAUAUUUUUUUGCUUUAGU